AAUCGCUCACUCCUGUGGCAGACGACGAGACGACUGGACGAGGCGAUCCUUCCCGGCCGACCGCCGGCGGGAAGCAAGCCGGCGAGGUGAGGAUCCGGCGUUCUAAGAUGGCAUCCCGCGAUGGGGGCGACCUUCCCAGGCAUCUAGCUGCAUUAGGAGAUGUGCAGACCUCGCAGGAGAUCGAAGGCGCAGCUCGCGGCCGGAAGCGGAAGAGAGGGGGCGGCAGCUCGGGCGUGACGACAGCGGCGGCGGUGGGAGGAAGUGGGAGGGAACUUACAGCCGGCAGAGGCUCGACCCAGGCCCGACGGGGUGGCGCAAUUUCUGCAGCUCCAGCUAGAAGACAACUAGAAAUGAGAAGCUUUUUGGUUGACCCAAGUAACUUACCAACACCACACUCGCAACCACAAAGACAAGACGAGGAGGAUUCACAUGUGUUUAAUCCUGAUGAUAUUGUUUGUGAUCCCGCGCUUCGACAACAAAUUAAUGAUUACCAUCCGGAUGUUCAAGACCAAGUGAGAAGAGCUUAUCUUUUGAAGGGUCCAACACAACCAAUUGUGAACUUCCGUAUCUGAUAGUUGCUGUACGCAAGUUUGGCUAUGAAGAUGGUUGAAACGGAGAAGCAUUUGGUUUUCCCAUUGGUGUACAAACUUAUUGAGUUGGCUUUGAUAUUGCCGGUGUCAACGGCAUCCGUUGAGAGGGCUUUCUCGGCAAUGAAGAUUAUCAAGUCAAAAUUACGUAACAAGAUGAAGAAUGAUUGGUUCAAUGACUUGAUGAUAUGUUACACGGAGUGGGAGAUAUUUAGGGAACUUGAUAGUGAUGAUAUUGCUAAACGGUUCCAAGCCAUGAAGACAAGGAAAGGACAUCUACCUAAAAAGACAUGAUGGACGAGUCUUUUGGGAGCAUUUGGACAAGCUUUUGUUGUCAAGCCGUUAGAGACUUGGAAUUUCAAUAUAUAUUAUCUAGUACUUAUGAACAUUUGAGCCUUUUGGUCCACCGUUGUUAAAUGUUAAAAGUCUAGUAUUUAGUAGCAAUGAACAUUUGCAUCUGCUAUUAUGCUUUUUUAUGUAUUGUGUCCAUAUUUAUGCAUGAAAAAUCGUAUUGAUGAUUUAUUUUCCAUAUCUGAUAGUUGAUGUGCGCAGGAUUUUUUUUUGUCACACUUCGGCUUGCCCAGGCUUCGGAAAUUUCCUGGGUCCGCCUAUGAGUACAAGGGCAUUCAAACUUUCCCAUAUUCAGUUUAUAUGGAGAAGUUUCCUCUCAAGAAUCUGUAUAGACGACUGAUCGACGAUGGCAUGAAUAAAUUAACCAAGGCCAUCAUUCAUGCUAGUACUGAAGAUAUGUAACGAAGAUCUCGCAAUCUCCACAUUAACUAAGAUCAUAUGUAUAAAAUGGGUGGCAACUUGCUAGGGUCGCGUAUGUGCCUUCGCAUUGUUUUAUAUCAUGUCAAGGUGGCACGAUGCAUUUGAUUUGUAUAUUAUACAGU